rnacentral:lncRNA from 1 species
GCGGCCUCGGGGCACGGCGGGCCCAGGCCGGAGGAGCUUUCGGUGGCGCGACCCCGCUGGCAUGCUCCCGGCCUCGGCCUCGGCCUCGGCCUUGGCCUCCGGGCCUCCAGCGCACGCGGGGCGUCCAGGGCCUCAUCUUCCCCUGGGGACCGCCCGGCCGUGUCCCGCUGCCCUCGGCGCAGGGGUGGGAGUUGCAGAGAGGAAGAGUCGCUAACCCGGAGUGUUUCUUAAAACUUGGCUGACCUGUGACCUGCGGAUUUGGAGGCUGAAUUCUCCGAGCACCUGUGCGGUGUGCACUUGCUUCUUGCAAGACAGCUUUUGUACCUAACCACAUUCAUUUUGAUUUGGUUUAAUUUUGGAUGGCACUAUGGAAAGUAGCUAAAAUAAACAGGAAGCUACUGCAGGAUAUAAUCUAAGAAAA